rnacentral:rRNA from 1 species
UUGGCAUCAUUUUAUAGUUAAAGCUCCGGCGGUUAAAGAUGGGCAUGCGUAACAUUAGCUAGUUGGUGAGGUAACUGCUCACCAAGGCUACGAUGUUUAGGGGGUCUGAGAGGAUGGUCCCCCACACUGGUACUGAGACACGGACCAGACUCCUACGGGAGGCAGCAGUGAGGAAUAUUGGUCAAUGGGCGAAAGCCUGAACCAGCCAUGCCGCGUGAAGGAUGACGGCCCUAUGGGUUGUAAACUUCUUUUAUACGGGAAGAAACCGUCCUACGUGUAGGGCGUUGACGGUACCGUACGAAUAAGCAUCGGCUAACUCCGUGCCAGCAGCCGCGGUAAUACGGAGGAUGCAAGCGUUAUCCGGAUUUAUUGGGUUUAAAGGGUGCGUAGGCGGAAAUUUAAGUCAGUGAUGAAAUCCUGCGGCUCAACCGUAGAACUGUUAUUGAUACUGAAUUUCUUGAAUACAGUUGAGGUAGGCGGAAUGAGUAAUGUAGCGGUGAAAUGCUUAGAUAUUACUCAGAACACCGAUUGCGAAGGCAGCUUACUAAACUGAUAUUGACGCUGAGGCACGAAAGCGUGGGGAGCGAACAGGAUUAGAUACCCUGGUAGUCCACGCCGUAAACGAUGAUCACUCGUUGUUGGCAAUACACCGUCAGCGACUGAGCGAAAGCAUUAAGUGAUCCACCCGGGGAGUACGAUCGCAAGAUUGAAGCUCAAAGGAAUUGACGGGGGCCCGCACAAGCGGAGGAACAUGUGGUUUAAUUCGAUGAUACGCGAGGAACCUUACCUGGGCUUAAAUGUAGAGCGACGGACCGGGAAACUGGUCUUUCUUCGGACGAUCUACAAGGUGCUGCAUGGCUGUCGUCAGCUCGUGCCGUGAGGUGUCGGGUUAAGUCCCAUAACGAGCGCAACCCUCAUCAUUAGUUGCCAGCGGGUAAUGCCGGGGACUCUAAUGAAACUGCCGGUGUAAACCGAGAGGAAGGUGGGGAUGACGUCAAGUCAGCACGGCCCUUAUGUCCAGGGCUACACACGUGUUACAAUGGUCAGUACAAAGGGCAGCUACCAUGCGAAUGGAUGCUAAUCUCGAAAACUGGUCUCAGUUCGGAUCGGAGUCUGCAACUCGACUUCGUGAAGUUGGAUUCGCUAGUAAUC